GGUGUUUACGUAUCGAACGUGUUCAAUUUAUGAUACAGAGUUAUCUGAACGUUGGAGUUUAUUCUUGUAGUCUUGAUUUGUACAGUUUAAUAAAAACGAGAUAUCAAGCAGAUAAACUUCCGCUAGAGGAACAAGAUUCGGCUAUUCUACAUUGCAGAUUGCCGGCUAUCAUACUAUCGGGCAUGCAACCCGUGUGUCCGCCCUAUUUGCUAUACGACUAUUCAGCUGUUGGCAUUGAGAAAAUCCCUGCUCUGCAACUGCCGUCCGGUAGCAAUAGAUGACCCUUUUGUGUCAAAUUUCGCAGCAAGGUUCCGUCGCAAUUACGAGUUCAGCAACCUAAACCAAAAUGCUACCGUGAAAAACUACAUAAGUGCAGAUGAACAACGACACCAAGAUACAGCAGGAAGAGCCUGAAUUAGUGUCGGCAGGAUUUACCUUUCGCCUGGACACAAUCGAACUUUGUGGAUUCAAUGGAGAUGUUUCAAUCAACGCCUCAUCAAUCGAUUAGUUGACAUGCUAGCACAAAAUAAAGUCAACAGUAACAUGAUUGCUCAGCAAUAAAUUCUAAUGCAAAUUCUCAGUAAAAACCAACAUAAACAACGAAAAACAACGUUGAGAAUGCAACUGAUCCACCACAAAUGCAACAACAGCAACAAUCAACCCAAUAGCCGCGCUAUCCAUUCCAACGUGAGCUGCAGUUCCAUACCCAAAACGCAAGGCGUUUUGUGAUAAAAACGGUCGAAUUUCUGCCGCUGCCGCUGUGAUUAACAACGGCGAACCAAAUGCAACUGUGCAGCAAUUCGUACCAUAAAUUUGUCCAAACAUGCAGCGAAGUCUUUUGGUUCAUAGUCAAACUGCUAACCAGGGGGUCUCCGUAGCCACAUUGGUUGCGCGUUCGCUUAGUAAGCGAUCGAUCGUGAGUUCAAAACUCAUUGACCAUUUUUGUGUUGUUACAGAAUAGCUACGUCCACGCAACAAUCAUCAGCGAUGGAGAUCGAUCCACGGUCGAAAUAAGAUCGAUUCAUCAUCCAUACAACUGCUCUGCUCUGCCAGACACAUCGGGUUACUGUUCUAUAAAUAACUCAACAAUGAUCAAUCAACUGUCUCCGCUGUCCGGUGGUCCAACUGGAUAAUAGAAGAACAGAAAGAAUACCCUUACGCCUAAAUGGCUACUGUGUGAAUGUACCAUAUGUAAUGGUAUAGAAGGAAUACUGGCGAAUGGCAACUGUGUAAUGUGCUAAUUAUAGAUAUGAUAACCAUGUGACAUGUACACGAUUAAAAUUCGGCUCUGUUACAGCUAAAAUGCUAAUGAGCCUUAAAUAAAUAAAUGGGAUAAUAAAAAAAAACUGCUAACCGGCUGGUGACAAAUAUCCUAAUGAUACAUAUUUCUCCGCAAAGCCGACUGCAGGAGCCACUACCCUCCGUCACGCAAAAAUUGUGCCAACAGAAACGAGGUAGACCCAUGAGCGUUAGAACUUCUUAGGAAGCAUCGAAUUCUACAGAUCAAUUCUUACAUGUUACGAGAGAACUGGAUUCUUACAAUGCAGUGCAGAAAUGGUUAUCUCUUGCAAUAUUCAAAUUUAAUGUUGUUUUGUACUAUAUAUUACCGUUCCUCAUGAUCAUAUUUCAUAUGUUGUGGUUGUUCUUUUUCUUUUAUUACUUUUUAUAAUAACGUGCUUCGUUUCAUCAUUUAGGCAAGCGAAAUUUUGAUACAAAUUUUCACUGCCUGAUUUAUGUUUUGCAAAAUUGCAUCGAUUGAUUUGUCGUUAGGUUCUUCCAUUAAGUUUAUUAAUAUAAGACGAUUUUAAAUUAUGGGAACGAAUGUUCAUUCUUUUCGCUUUGUUAUUUUUUUAGACUGCAAUCGCUAAAUAAUUUCUGGAAAAGCCGUUGUUGAACCUCACCACCAGCAAACAUUAGCAUCUCAUAUAUUGCCUAAAAACUGUCUCAAUUAUUCUCAUGUGAAACUUUUACCCCUAGCUUUGCUCGAGUUUCGUGUUCAAGUAUCUAGAAACAGCGGCAGCCAAAGAGGAAAAUCGAAAAGUAGUCUCGAUGUAGCGUGCCCAUCGAGACUACUUUUAGACUACUACUUCUACGGAGGUCGGCGCUCUCGUCGAAAAAUUCCUCCGGAAGGCUGUUGGAUGGUACCCGGAACAAACGAGGUCAUUUCGAUUCUGGAUACAGCACACGCGAUAGAAGUUUCGAUUGUAAGCGUUGGUCCCAGAAGGAUCCGCACGAUAGUAAUGGCCCCUAUUCGCUCAAAUGGUCGCCCAUUCCAAUGCAUACAGGCUUCAGUGUGAAACCACCACCAGCUUCAGUUGUACCAACAGCAGCAAGAGCUACAGCUGGUCGUUCUAAUGUGGUUCUUUUGUCUGUUAGGUCUGCUCAGUGAUGAAAGCCACGGUGGUGGAGCCAUAAUAGGUUCGCUUGGGGAGCAGGCACCCCGCUGCAGGAUCAGCACGAGCGAAAGAAGCAGUCGAAUAAGGCCGACAUUUCUCCAGAAGGUGAUUUGACACUUGGUAGUGUCAAGUCCGAUGGAAAUAUGUGAACGCUAGAAAAUAUCCAACCUUAUAGUAUACCACUAUAUUUCAUUCAAAUUGUAUCUCAUAACAUCUUUCAAUACUCCAAUUACAGCUCCAACACUAACA